UACAGAGGGGGCCAGCGUUAUUCGGAAUUAUUGGGCGUAAAGGGCGCGUAGGCGGCGCGGUAAGUCGGGUGUGAAAUCUCGGAGCUUAACUCCGAAACUGCAUUCGAUACUGCCGUGCUUGAGGACUGGAGAGGAGACUGGAAUUUACGGUGUAGCGGUGAAAUGCGUAGAUAUCGUAAGGAAGACCAGUGGCGAAGGCGGGUCUCUGGACAGUUCCUGACGCUGAGGCACGAAGGUCAGGGGAGCAAACGGG
rnacentral:rRNA from 1 species